rnacentral:rRNA from 1 species
AGCCUGCCCAGUGACUCUGUUCAACGGCCGCGGUAUCCUAACCGUGCGAAGGUAGCGUAAUCACUUGUUCUUUAAAUGAGGACUAGUAUGAAUGGCACCACGAAGGUUAUACUGUCUCUUCUUUCCAAUCAGUGAAACUAAUCUCCCCGUGAAGAAACGAGGAUGAAAAUAUAAGACGAGAAGACCCUAUGGAGCUUUAAAUCACGCAACACCUGCUUUAACCCAACNUAAAUUUCAGAAAACCCCUCUUCACCCCAGCAGGAUGAUUGCCAGUUUUAGGUUGGGGUGACCGCGGAGCAAAAAACAACCUCCACAUUGAAAGGGCACCUACCCCUUAGCCAAGAGCCACGCCUCCACGCACCAAUAAAAUGACAUUAAUUGACCCAAUAUAUUGAUCAACGAACCAAGUUACCCUAGGGAUAACAGCGCAAUCCACUUCAAGAGCCCCUAUCGACAAGUGGGUUUACGACCUCGAUGUUGGAUCAGGGUAUCCCGGUGGUGCAGCCGCUACCAAAGGUUCGUUUG